rnacentral:rRNA from 1 species
CAGUCGCCACGGGAAUACAGAGGGUGCGAGCGUUAAUCGGAUUUACUGGGCGUAAAGCGUGCGUAGGCGGCUUUUUAAGUCGGAUGUGAAAUCCCUGAGCUUAACGUAGGAAUUGCAUUCGAUACUGGGAAGCUAGAGUAUGGGAGAGGAUGGUAGAAUUCCAGGUGUAGCGGUGAAAUGCGUAGAGAUCUGGAGGAAUACCGAUGGCGAAGGCAGCCAUCUGGCCUAAUACUGACGCUGAGGUACGAAAGCAUGGGGAGCAAACAGGAUUAGAUACCCGCGUAGUCCCUGUCUUUAUACA